rnacentral:rRNA from 1 species
ACUCCUACGGGAGGCAGCAGUGGGGAAUAUUGCACAAUGGGCGCAAGCCUGAUGCAGCCAUGCCGCGUGUGUGAAGAAGGCCUUCGGGUUGUAAAGCACUUUCUAGUUGUGAGGAAGGUGGUGUCGUUAAUAGCGGCAUCAUUUGACGUUAGCAACAGAAGAAGCACCGGCUAACUCCGUGCCAGCAGCCGCGGUAAUACGGAGGGUGCGAGCGUUAAUCGGAAUUACUGGGCGUAAAGCGCAUGCAGGUGGUUUGUUAAGUCAGAUGUGAAAGCCCGGGGCUCAACCUCGGAACUGCAUUUGAAACUGGCAGACUAGAGUACUGUAGAGGGGGUAGAAUUUCAGGUGUAGCGGUGAAAUGCGUAGAGAUCUGAAGGAAUACCGGUGGCGAAGCGGCCCCUGGACAGAUACUGACACUCAGAUGCGAAAGCGUGGGAGCAAACAGGAUUAGAUACCCCGUGUAGCACAGAG